CUUGGGGCGGGGGAGGUACCCUCAGCCCAAAUUGUGAGAGGGUGCAGGCCAGGCUGAGGGACCGCACUGGUGCACA
rnacentral:pre_miRNA from 1 species